rnacentral:tRNA from 1 species
AGUCUUAUAGUCAAAAUUAAUGAUAUCAAAUUGCAAGUUUGAAGGUGGGCAAGCUCUAAGGCUU